UCAAGCGAACAAGGGCGCAGGGCGAAUGCCUUGGCACUGGGAGCCGAUGAAAGACGUGAUAAGCUGCGAUAAGCUUCGGGGAGCUGCAAAUAAGCAUUGAUCCGGAGAUUUCUGAAUGAGGAAACUCACCUGGGUUCAUACUCAGGUACGUUAUACUGAACUUCAAAAUAGGUAUAUCGAGGGAACCGCCUGAACUGAAACAUCUAAGUAGGGCGAGGAAGAGACAUCAAACGAGAUUCCGUAAGUAGUGGCGAGCGAACGCGGAAGAGGGCAAACCGGGAGUAGAAAGACUUCCGGGGUACGGACUGCUUUUAGGACUUAAUCUGUUAACCGAACGGCAUGGGAAGGCCGGUCAGAGAGUGUGAGAACCACGUAGGUGAAAACGGAGAGAGCUGCGCAGGAUCCAGAGUACGGCCAGACACGUGAAACCUGGUCGGAAUACGGGGGGACCACCCUCCAACCCUAAAUACUACCCAGUGACCGAUAGCGUAUAGUACUGUGAAGGAAAGGUGAAAAGCACCCCGGGAGGGGAGUGAAAAAGAACCUGAAACCCUGUGCCUACAAGCACCUAGAGCGCGUCAAAGCGUGAUAGGGUACUUUUUGUAGAACGGUCCGGCGAGCGAUUGUAUGCAGCAAGGUUAAGGACUUAAGGUCUGGAGCCGAAGCGAAAGCGAGUUUGAAAAGGGCGUUAAGUUGCAUAUAAUGGGCCCGAAACCGGGUGACCUACCCAUGGUCAGGUUGAAGUGGAAGUAAAAUUCCAUGGAGGACCGAACCGACCUCCGUUGAAAAGGCGGCGGAUGAACUGUGGGUAGCGGAGAAAUUCCAAUCGAACCCGGAGAUAGCUGGUUCUCCCCGAAAUAGUUUUAGGACUAGCCUCAAGUUAGAUACCUGGAGGUAAAGCACUGAAUAGCCUAGCGGCCGAGAGGUUAGCGAAGCUUAUCAAACUCAGAAUGCCAGAGUAUUGAUGCUUGGGAGUCAGACAGUGUCAGAUAAAUGUCAUUGUCAAAAGGGAAACAGCCCAGAUCUACAGCUAAGGUCCCAAAGUCAGGUUAAGUGGAAAACGAUGUGAAGAUACGCAGACAACCAGGAUGUUGGCUCAGAAGCAGCCACUCAUUCAAAGAGUGCGUAAUAGCUCACUGGUCGAGCGUCUUUGCGCGGAGAAUUUAACGGGGCUAAACCUGACACCGAAGCUUAGGCAAUGCACGAAAGUGUAUUGGGUAGGGGAGCGUUGUAUACGCGGAGAAACAGUAGCGCAAGCGGCUGUGGAGUGUAUAGAAGUGAGAAUGCCGGAAUGAGUAGCGCGAAUGCAGUGAGAAUCUGCAUGGCCGAAAGCCUCAGGUUUCUGGAGGAAGGUUCGUCCGCUCCAGGUUAGUCGGGAGCUAAGGUGAGGCCGAAAGGCGUAGCCGAUGCACAGACGGUAGAGAUUCCGUCACCACCAAAAGAGUUAAGCACAGGGACACAUUUGAAGUCUCAGAGCCGGGUGUUGGUUCCGGUAGAGAUCGAGGGAAGUUAGUACCGAAGUCUGAGAUGGAAGAUGGCGAGAAAAGCUGUGUGUAUUUCUGAGGUGCCCGUACCGCAAACCGACACAGGUAGGUAGGAAGAAGAUUCUAAGGCCAACGGGAGAAGGGUUGUUAAGGAACUCGGCAAAUUGACCCCGUAACUUCGGGAGAAGGGGUGCUCCAGAGAUGGAGCCGCAGAGAAUCGGCCCAAGCAACUGUUUACCAAAAACACAGGUUUGUGCUAAAUCGAAAGAUGACGUAUACGAGCUGACGCCUGCCCGGUGCUGGAAGGUUAAGAGGAGAUGUGCAAGCAUUGAAUCGAAGCCCCAGUGAACGGCGGCCGUAACUAUAACGGUCCUAAGGUAGCGAAAUUCCUUGUCAGGUAAGUUCUGACCCGCA
rnacentral:rRNA from 1 species